GUCCUUUUGUGGUACUGUGUGUAACAGUAUUAACUCUUCUUCUCCACGUUUCCUUCUGCGAGAUAGGUUUUUUUUUUUUUUUUUCUUCUUUGAAUCUGGUCCUGUUUAUAGCUUUGCGGUACAGAUUUUUGCCUCGGUUUCAUAUCAUGUGGGUGUUACCUGAUUCUUUGUGGGUUUUUCUCGUGUGGGGGUUAACUAGUGCCACGGUUGUGUCACUCCUCUAGCUGGUGAUGGCGCAUAGGAGAAAGGUUUGGUGUCUUCUGCGUUUGAUGAUAUCGCUGAUCUCGUUCCUGGCAAAGAAAGGGUUCGGAUUAAGGCCAGGAUUUUUCGGUUGUGGAAGGUUCCUGCUUUUCUCAAUCCAAAUGAAUCUGGUUCUAUUGAGUUGAGAUGGUUCUUGUCCAAGGUUGUUUGGCUUGCAGGUUUGAACUAAAAGGCAGCAAGAAUGUAUUGGGGGAGUUUCACAGUGGCUUUGUGAACAAUAGAGAAAGAACUGGUGAGGGAUGAUUAAUUUGUUUCCUAUUUCAUUCUAUUUUUCAUUUAUGUAGUUUUUCUUUCUUAUUCAUAGUAGCUUCAUCUUGAUUUAUGUCUCUUUUUCCACAAAAUUGGGAAUGAUGUAUCAGGAUUUAUGGGUGAUAUCUAUACACUUGACACAUAGAUAACGAGAUUUGGGCACUGUAGGUUGUAAUCAUUCGUGCCAAGUCGAUCCGUUUUGAUUUUUUUUUUUUUUUCGUUCCUUGGUUUUACAAGACCCGCAGAACUUGGAUGCCUUUGUGUUUCUAUAAUACACCUUCCUCAGAUAUGCUCUUGUCGUCGUGUAUGCUUUAUCUGGUGCUCCAAUUUUCCCUUCAUAAACAGUUUCAUCAUCUAUAAAUUUGGGUUGAGGAUGGAAGGUUUGUGUUUGAAGAAGAUUGAGAAAGUUUGCAAAAAAUAUAGGCUCAUGGUGCAUUGAUGAUAGUGUAUAUAAGAGGAGCAUGGUGGCAGUUUUAACGAAGCUGUAAAUGCAUAUUUUAGCGAAGGAGACAGAAAUUUGAUGACCAGGUACACCCUUUUUAAUAAUCAAGAGAUCAUUUAGAAUACAUAUUCCAAGAAGCAAUUUUGUUAUGAGAAUGCAAACUUUUAAUAAACAGCUACACUGUUGUCUUUUCUUAUGUGUACAUGUUUGGGUUAUAGCAUACUUUAAUACUAUUAUUUUUCUACUCAAAAGAGCUUAGAAUAUAAUAUUGUGGUUUUAAGUUGGUCUGAGACAUAAUUUUUUUCCCUUUCUAUUCAAAUAUAUGUACAAUGUUGUGGUUAUCUUGUGGUUAUGAAUGUGACUUUUCGUUAAAACAAUGGUUGGCGGAUCGGAGGUCCUGUCUAGGUUGUAUUUAAAACCUUAUAAGUUUGUUUCCCUUGGUUUUUCGUUCUGGUCAUGCAUCAGAGUGUUUGGUGCUAUUCCUCAUUAUUCUCAGAUUCAUCUUUUCGGGGACUGGUUUAUGUGUUUGUUAUGCAGGUGGCACUUAUUUUCUACUUAUCAGAUCUUGUGAUCACAUACUAUAGCAUGGUUGUUUUCUGUUUUUAUUAACAGGUUUCAUCUCUCUAGCUUUGGUUGUCACUGAUGUAGGUCUGGACUAUUUAGUAGUGUUGGUUGUAUCUCAUAAGGCCUUAUCCAUUUUCUCGGGCCGGAACUUGCGAAAGUUCGAUGUGCCUUGAGUUGAGAGUGAUAAGGCGAGAGAUCCCAUCUUGGUACCAAAUAAUUAUGUUACAUUGAUAGUUAAAUUUUGAAAAUGAAAAUAGAAUAGAUGAAUUUAUCUUAUUUAUUGAUAGCAAAAAUACUUGAAGCAACUAUAUUUUCUUUGUAAUGUUCCCCAAUCAUUUCAUUGUAAGCAUUGACGCUGAUGUUACUGUUGCAGUUUCUAUAUUAGGAGAGUGUUUAAAUGAAGAGCACCGGUUGCAGCCUUUGUGUAACCAUGUUAAGUAUGGCCUUUGAGAAUAAUGUCUUUUAUGAUCAUUUAACUUAUGCAUUCAUCAUAUUUAUAAGAAAAACCAUGGUUGAGUUGGAAUUAAGUAGAUUUUGCAGAUUAAAUAUACUUGAGGUUACAGGAAAAGCACAAGCAAAUGCAAGAAAGUAAUCCGAGUAUGUAUAAUGUAUACCAGAAGUAUUUACUGGACACUAGAAGAAUGAAUUUGAAAUUUGCUAUUUUGGAAUUUGUAUUGUAAUUAUUUGCUUAAUAACUGCUAAUAUAAUGAGUUAAUUUUAUAUUUAUAUAAUGAGUUAAUUUUGUAAUUAUUAUUCAUUUUAUGAAGACAUUAAUUAGCUUAUGUUUCAAAUUAUUAUCACAUGAUAAUGAGAAAACAAAG